GAGAUAUUAGUAUAAAUGAUAAUACAUUGCUUUGUCAGAGCUAAAUUGUGGGUUAAACUCCCAUGUAUCUUU
rnacentral:tRNA from 1 species